AAAAUGGCCCUUUUCAGGGCCAAUCACACGAAAGAGUAUUCUUUA
rfam:Culex pipiens quinquefasciatus supercont3.392 genomic scaffold, whole genome shotgun sequence.